rnacentral:rRNA from 1 species
UACGUAGGGUCCGAGCGUUGUCCGGAAUUACUGGGCGUAAAGGGCGCGUAGGCGGCCUGCUAAGUCAGACGUGAAAUCCCUCGGCUUAACCGGGGAACUGCGUCUGAUACUGGAUGGCUUGAGUUCGGGAGAGGGAUGCGGAAUUCCAGGUGUAGCGGUGAAAUGCGUAGAUAUCUGGAGGAACACCGGUGGCGAAGGCGGCAUCCUGGACCGACACUGACACUGAGGAGCGAAAGCCAGGGGAGCAAACGGG